rnacentral:lncRNA from 1 species
ACAAGCGCUCGCUGUGGUUCUGGCAGCGAAGUGCGAGACUGGGCUCGCCAGGCGGAAGUGGUUGGAGACUGCGUGUUUUCCUAGAAAGUCCUCGACCUUCGUCGGGGAGAGGAGGGGAGUGAUAAAUUGGAAGGCGGACAAGCGACAAGUGCGGUACUGGAAAGACCCAAACAUACUUGGUUGUGACCUCAGGCAAGUUUCCUGACUUCCGUAACCCAAACUCCUCAUAUGUAAAAUGGAGAUGAAAUUGUUACUGCUGCAUCAUACGGUUUUUUGGAAAGGAUUAAAUGAAACAAAGGAAGAAGCUGUGCUCUGCACAGUACCUGGCACAUAGUAGGGCCUCAUUAAGUGCUCCUUCACCUCCGCUCCACUCCCCAUCCAGUUUUAGCUGUGAGUUCAAACACUAGUUUUGUUCUCAUCCAUUACGGAAAGAUUUAUUGACCGUAAACAGAGUACUUUGUGCUUGGUGCUGGGUACACAUGGACUAAGACUGAAUACUGAUUUUUCCAGUGCUUUGGAUCUCUGGCAAUCUAAGACAUUUACAUUAAAUACAAUAGAAAGUAAUAAACUACAUAAGAAAGGUGUAUAGAUUGAGGUUAGAGGGAGAGGAAUAGCUAGUGUGAGGGACAAAACGCAGUUUUGAAUAGUAUUGAGUACUUACAUGUCAGUUGCUGCACUGAGCACCUGCCGUGUGAGCUCAUUUGAAGAAUGUGGGUAUGUGGAAUGAAGAGAAAGGGCGUUCUAGACAGACCAGCACAAGUGUCAAAAGACAAAAAUUUGACACAUCUAAAGAUCUCAGUUGGCCUUAUUGCGAUUCUGGAAUCAGGCAACACUUCAUUCCAUAAAAUGGAAUGAGUGUCCCAAUGAGUGGAACAGAGGAGGUUGGCAUUACGGACAGAAAAAAGGUCUGUAGAAAGUAGAAACAAAGAACAAAAAGCAGAUUGAUCAUUUCAAAGUUACUUUCCUGGUAAGGUGGAGACAGACAGUACAAUAGAAAGAUAACUGAUUGGUUAACAUCAGGUUACUUCAAGUUACUCUUUGCUGUAGGGACUAAAACAGAGGAAAUUCAUUAUCUUGCUGAUUGAAAAUUGAAACUGGCCUGUUACCUCUGUCUCCUGAUUUCUUGGAGGGCCACAUAACUCAGUUUCGGUGUGGUGAGCCUGAGUGAUACCAUUUUUAUUUUAGUCUGGUCUCUUGGGGUCUAGUGCAGAAGUUCUAAACAAUGGCCUCCUAUAAUUUUUUUUAAUACAAGGAACUGCAUAAACUUAUUGCAUAAACAGAAUCUAGUGUGUGCUAUUAGGGAAGCAUGUUCUACAUUUUAUUUUAAGACAGAGUCUCCCAGACUGGAGUGCAGUGGUGUGAUCUCAGCUCACUGCAACUUCUGCCACCUGGGUUCAAGCGAUUCUCCUGCGUCAGUCUCCCUAGUAGCUGGGACUACAAGUGCAUGCCACCACACUUGGCUAAUUUUUGUAUUUUUUUUUUAGUAGAG